UUUGUACCCUCAAGCUCUGCUUGGUGUUGGGUGUUUGUUCCGCCUCUGUGUGUGAACUCGCCUUAAAACAAUUGGCAGCCGGCGUACUUGUUUCGGAGCGCAGCACAUUUUUGCGCUUUAGACCAAUGUACAGCGGCAUCCAAGAAGCCUUCUUUAACGCUCUUGACCUCGGAUCAGGUAGGGAUACCCGCUGAACUUAA
rnacentral:misc_RNA from 1 species